GCCGACGUAGCUCAGCUGGUAGAGCAGCGGUUUUGUAAACCGCAGGCCGUAGGUUCAAUUCCUAUCGUCGGCUGCA
rnacentral:tRNA from 1 species